rnacentral:rRNA from 1 species
UACGUAGGGGACGAGCGUUGUCCGGAAUUACUGGGCGUAAAGGGCGCGCAGGCGGUAUAUCAAGUCAGCUGUCAAAGACUGGGGCUCAACCCUGGUAUGCGGUUGAAACUGAUAUGCUGGAGUGCUGUAGAGGCAAGUGGAAUUCCCAGUGUAGCGGUGAAAUGCGUAGAUAUUGGGAAGAACACCGAUGGCGAAGGCAGGUCUCUGGGCAGUAACUGACGCUGAGGAGCGAAAGCAUGGGUAGCGAACAGGAUUA